GACGAACGCUGGCGGCGUGCUUAACACAUGCAAGUCGAACGGAAAGGCCCUGCUUUUGUGGGGUGCUCGAGUGGCGAACGGGUGAGUAACACGUGAGUAACCUGCCCUUGACUUUGGGAUAACUUCAGGAAACUGGGGCUAAUACCGGAUAGGAGCUCCUGCUGCAUGGUGGGGGUUGGAAAGUUUCGGCGGUUGGGGAUGGACUCGCGGCUUAUCAGCUUGUUGGUGGGGUAGUGGCUUACCAAGGCUUUGACGGGUAGCCGGCCUGAGAGGGUGACCGGCCACCUUGGGACUGAGGUACGGCCCCGACUCCUACGGGAGGCAGCAGUGGGGAAUAUUGCCCAAUGGGCGGAAGCCUGAUGCAGUAACGCCGCGUGCGGGAUGACGGCCUUCGGGUUGUAAACCGCUUUCGCCUGUGACGAAGCGUGAGUGACGGUAAUGGGUAAAGAAGCACCGGCUAACUACGUG
rnacentral:rRNA from 1 species